rnacentral:rRNA from 1 species
GUGAGGAAUAUUGGACAAUGGGCGCAAGCCUGAUCCAGCCAUGCCGCGUGCAGGAAGACGCAUCUAUGGUGUGUAAACUGCUUUUGUACGGGAAGAAACACUCCCUCGUGAGGGAGCUUGACGGUACCGUAAGAAUAAGGAUCGGCUAAAUCCGUGCCAGCAGCCGCGGUAAUACGGAGGAUCCAAGCGUUAUCCGGAAUCAUUGGGUUUAAAGGGUCCGUAGGCGGUUUAAUAAGUCAGUGGUGAAAGCCCAUCGCUCAACGAUGGAACGGCCAUUGAUACUGUUAGACUUGAAUUACAAGGAAGUAACUAGAAUAUGUAGUGUAGCGGUGAAAUGCUUAGAUAUUACAUGGAAUACCAAUUGCGAAGGCAGGUUACUACUUGUGGAUUGACGCUGAUGGACGAAAGCGUGGGGAGCGAACAGGAUUAGAAACCCGAGUAGUCC